rnacentral:tRNA from 1 species
CAGAGGAUAGUUCAAUGAAGAAUAUCAGCUUUGGGAGCUGGAGGUGAAGGUUUGAACCCUUUUUCUCUGA